CCUACGGGGGGCUGCAGUGGGGAAUAUUGGGCAAUGGGCGCAAGCCUGACCCAGCAACGCCGCGUGAAGGAAGAAGGCUUUCGGGUUGUAAACUUCUUUUCUCAGGGACGAAGCAAGUGACGGUACCUGAGGAAUAAGCCACGGCUAACUACGUGCCAGCAGCCGCGGUACGACGUAGGGGGCAAGCGUUAUCCGGAUUUACUGGGUGUAAGGGGGGUGUAGGCGGGGACGCAAGUCAGAUGUGAAAACCACGGGGUCAACCUGUGGCCUGCAUUUGAAACUGUGUUUCUUGAGUACUGGAGAGGCAGACGGAAUGCCUAGUGUAGCGGUGAAAUGCGUAGAAAUUAGGAGGAACACCAGGGGCGAAGGCGGUCUGCUGGACAGCAACUGACGCUGAGGCGCGAAAGCGUGGGGAGCAAACAGGAUUAGAUACCCGGGUAGUC
rnacentral:rRNA from 1 species